UAGGGAAUCUUCCACAAUGGACGCAAGUCUGAUGGAGCAACGCCGCGUGAGUGAAGAAGGUUUUCGGACCGUAAAGCUCUGUUGUUGGUGAAGAAGGAUAGAGGUAGUAACUGGCCUUUAUUUGACGGUAAUCAACCAGAAAGUCACGGCUAACUACGUGCCAGCAGCCGCGGUAAUACGUAGGUGGCAAGCGUUGUCCGGAUUUAUUGGGCGUAAAGCGAGCGCAGGCGGAAGAAUAAGUCUGAUGUGAAAGCCCUCGGCUUAACCGAGGAAUUGCAUCGGAAACUGUUUUUCUUGAGUGCAGAAGAGGAGAGUAGAACUCCAUGUGUAGCGGUGGAAUGCGUAGAUAUAUGGAAGAAUACCAGUGGCGAAGGCGGCUCUCUGGUCUGCAACUGACGCUGAGGCUCGAAAGCAUGGGUAGCGAACAGGAUUA
rnacentral:rRNA from 1 species